ACAGGGGCCACAGUGGGGGAGGAAGAGAGCGAGGCGCUCUGUGGAGACAGAGGAAGGUGGAGGAGUGUGUGCAGCAGGUGGCGGAGAGCGUGGGCUCAGUCUGAGCGACGGAGGGCAGCAGAUUUACGUCGAUUUAAGCAGGACGGGGGAGAGAUUUCCAGGAUCGCUAACGCAAAAGAAGCGCUCGCUGCUGUUCUUCCUGGAGGAACGCCUGCUUCUCCAUCAGCUUCCUGAACAGUCCCUGCCUGUUUCCCAGCAGCUCCGUGGGCUGGCCGCACUCGGCCACCCGCUGCUGGUCCAGGACGGCCACGGAGUCGGCGUUCUUGAUGGUGGACAGGCGUUGCAACGACUAAAUGAAUGGUCUACCUUCCAUGAGUCUCUCCAAAGCCUCCUGAACAAGGAACUCGUUCUCAGCAUCCAAAGCACUGAAGUAAAGAAGAAAUUAUAAGUUUUUGUGAACAUAAUUUUGCUUUCAGAAGGCUAAAAGCUAAAAGCCACCAGUCAAAACACUGAAAGCAAAAACUCAGUCAGUCAGUCUAACCUGGUGGCCUCGUCUAACAGCAGGAUCUUUGGGUUCUGAAAAAAAGAAACAUUAAAAUGACAAAUUCAUGUUUUUCAGGAAGAAUUUCUCUACCAAUUUGUAAUUUAUGCCCAUUAGAUACUUUUGUACCGUUUCUCGAUGUAACCCUACUUUAAUCUUCCUUACCCCUCUACUCCUCAUUAUGUACAGAAAUAAAGAGGUAAAUAUACAUCUUAUGCAUUGAAAACAACAGAAAACAUGUGGUUACCUUGAGCAGAGCUCUGGCGAUGGCUAUCCUCUGCUUCUGACCACCUGACAUCCAGACACAGAUCAAUGAAGACUUUGUACGGCGCAUACAGAGGCAAAACCAGACGAUCACACAUGCAGGAGUUCCGCGCAGGGUUGCUAGGUAACAGGCCUGUGCCAGGCUGGGGUUGCUAGGUAACAGGCCUGUGCGAGGCUGGGGUUGCUAGGUAACGAUGGAACGUGGCUUAAAGGGGCGGUAUCACGUGAAAGUGACUUUUUUGAGCUUUCCAGCAUGUCAUAAUGUUAUUCCAUUAUUUUUAUGACGUAAAGCACUUUGAAAUGCCUUUUUGCUGAAAUGUGCCAUACAAAUAAAAUUUGAUUGAUUGAUUGAUCGAUCAAAAGCAUACCCGGAGUGUUGCCUUGAUGCAUUAAUGCGUCCAUUAAUGCAUGGAGAUCAAAUACUUUAAUCUGCCGUGGCAACCAUUCAGCUGAGUCCAUUAUAUGAGCCGCUUCUCAGUGCAAUGCUAGCAAAACGUU